UACGUAGGGGGCUAGCGUUGUCCGGAAUUAUUGGGCGUAAAGGGCUCGUAGGCGGUGUGUCACGUCGGCCGUGAAAACCUGCAGCUUAACUGUGGGCGUGCGGUCGAUACGGGCAUCACUGGAGUUCGGCAGGGGAGACUGGAAUUCCUGGUGUAGCGGUGAAAUGCGCAGAUAUCUGGAGGAAUACCGGUGGCGAAGGCGGCAUCCUGGACCGGCAUUGACGCUGAGGAGCGAAAGCCAGGGGAGCAAACGGG
rnacentral:rRNA from 1 species